CCUGCCCCUCUGCCGCUGGCAGCCAGCGGAAGCCAGCCAACCACGCCUUCUCCUCGUCCCCGUCGAGCCCCGACGAGGGACGCGACUCCUCACCGCACCGCACCGCCCCGCGAGAAGCUUCGGCGAGUACCAUCCGUCCCGCCGAUCGCAAUGCCGGAGGACAAGGAGUACGCGCCCGUGCCGCUCGGCCAGGCGGCGGCGGAGGCGUCGGCGGUGGCGCCUGACCCCGAGGACCCCGUCAAGUCGCCGCCGCGACCCAGCUCGCCCGGCACGUCCACUCGCAAGGCAUGCUUUGCUGUUCUUCAAAGCUGGGUGUCAAGAAAAUUUAUGACUGGAUGUGUAGUUCUUUUCCCAAUUGCUGUCACAUUCUUCAUCACUUGGUGGUUUAUUCAAUUUGUCGAUGGUUUUUUCAGCCCACUCUAUGCAAAACUGGGGUUUGACAUAUUCGGACUUGGGUUCUUAACCUCCCUGUUGUUUAUACUUCUUGUCGGAAUCUUUGUAUCUUCUUGGGUGGGUUCAACCGUCUUCUGGGUUGGAGAAUGGUUUAUAAAGAAAAUGCCAUUUGUAAGGCACAUAUACUCUGCAUCAAAGCAAGUUAGCACUGCUGUUUCACCAGAUCAAAAUACAACGGCAUUCAAAGAAGUAGCAAUUAUUAGUCAUCCCCGUGUUGGUGAAUAUGCAUUUGGAUUCAUAACAUCAACCAUGGUUCUUCAGACAGACAAAGGUGAUGAAGAAUUGUGUAGUGUUUAUGUCCCAACCAAUCAUUUAUAUAUUGGCGACAUCUUUUUGGUAAACUCCGCCGAAAUUAUUAGGCCCAAUUUGUCCAUUCGUGAAGGCAUAGGUUGGUUCCUUGCUCUCUUUUUAGUUUUUACCUUUGCCUCUACUGCUACUGUCCAGAGAAAAGAAAAUAUAACGCUUCUUAAGUUAAUCCCUUUGAAUAGUUUGGUUUGAGAUAACAAGUUCUUGUUAAGUUGUUCCUUCCUGCUCGAAGUUAUUCAAAUGUUCUGUUAUUGUCCAGGUGAUAAGUUUUUUUCUUUUUUUUGUGUGUGUGUCAACCACACACAUGCACUUAUCCCUAAACACCUCUGAUUACUGGGCCAGAGAUUUUGAGAUUGACAGUUACGUAGGCGCUUCACUGUGCCAGUUACAUAGACGCUUCACUAGUUACUGCCUCAGUGGAUGUGGGUAGUUACUCCCGGGUAGGAUUGCCGUCCCUAGCAUGUUCGACCACAAGCCUAGACAACUGAGCCAUGCUCAGUUUUUCUUUUGGCCCGAAGCUAAUACUAAUUCAUCGUUGACUCAUCAUAUAUUUGCUGGUUAUUCUAAUCUGAUAACUUUGCUGUUGUGUGUGCUACAGAAAUAAUUGUUUCAGGAGGAAUGACUAUGCCACAGGUGAUCACGUCACUGGAACCAACACCUCGGAAGAGCCAGAACAUCCGUUUAGACAGAGUGAGGACUGUAUGAGGCAUGAAUGAAAGCGUUGGGUGUUUCAGGAUGAAUUGUUUGGUUACCGAUUCAAAGCUGGGGCAUGAAGCAUGAGGCAAAUCAGUUUGUAGAUUGCAUUCAGAACUCGGGUGUGCAUUAGAGAUACAUGACAACCUGCACUGUCUUGCGUUGCCAAUCGGUUGGUGACACAAAAAUUGCAGCUCACGAGAUGCACCUAACUGAUUUCCAGCAGUGUGCUAGAUCGUAUUUGCCUGUAAUGUUGAACGCGAUUCAAUGCAGCAUCUACCAGUGUUACUUGUGUAUAUAAAUUUCUUGUACUACCAGUCUACCAAGAUCACCGAUUCUUACACAAAUGCAAUCAUGACUGGUCGUUACUUCUGUAUAUAAA